rnacentral:misc_RNA from 1 species
GAUGAAGAACGUAGCGAAAUGCGAUAGGUAGUGUGAAUUGCAGAUGUAACGUGAAUCAUCGAAUCUUUGAACGCAAAUUGCAUUCCCUGGUAUUCCGGGGAGUAUGCCUGUUUGAGGGUCGCCAAAUACACAUCGAUUAACAUUGCUUUUGAAGUAAAUGUUUUAUCGGAUUUGAGCUUUCUUUAUUCUUUACGAUAAAGUGGCUUAAAAUUUAUUUUUUUGGUAUCAAGCGUAUUUUACAAUCAAUUUUUGAUUAAAAAAGAACGUUUCGAAUGCCAUCCUUUUAAUGUAAUACGUUUGACUAUAUGUAAUAAAUAUGUAGUUCAUUCGCAUACGAUUCAUAAAUUUUUUUUUUUGACCUCAAAUCAGGUAAGAGUACCCGCUGAACUUAAGCAUAUCAAUAAGCGGAGGA